UGGAUUCAGCUGUUAGAACUCACGACAAAUA
rnacentral:piRNA from 1 species